rnacentral:rRNA from 1 species
CCUACGGGAGGCAGCAGUGAGGAAUAUUGGUCAAUGGACGAGAGUCUGAACCAGCCAAGUCGCGUGAAGGAUGACUGCCCUAUGGGUUGUAAACUUCUUUUAUCAAGGAAUAAAACGAGGCACGUGUGCCUUUUUGCAUGUACUUUAUGAAUAAGGAUCGGCUAACUCCGUGCCAGCAGCCGCGGUAAUACGGGGGAUCCCAGCGUUAUCCGGAUUUAUUUGGGUUAAGGGGAGCGGAGGUGGGUUGUUAAGUCAAUUGUGAAAGUUGGCGGCUCAACCGUAAAAUUGCAAUUGAUACUGGCAGUCUUGAGUACAGUUGAGGUAUGCGGAAUGCGUGGUGUAGCGGUG